rnacentral:rRNA from 1 species
UACGUAGGGUGCAAGCGUUGUCCGGAAUUAUUGGGCGUAAAGAGCUCGUAGGCGGUUUGUCGCGUCGAAUGUGAAAACCCGGGGCUCAACCCCGGGCCUGCAUUCGAUACGGGCAGACUAGAGUUCGGUAGGGGAGUCUGGAAUUCCUGGUGUAGCGGUGAAAUGCGCAGAUAUCGGGAAGAACACCCGUGGCGAAGGCGGUUCUCUGGGACGGUGACUGACGCUGAGACGCGAAAGCGUGGGAGCGAACAGG